GACGAACGCUGGCGGCGUGCCUAAUACAUGCAAGUAGAACGCUGAAGAGAGGAGCUUGCUCUUCUUGGAUGAGUUGCGAACGGGUGAGUAACGCGUAGGUAACCUGCCUUGUAGCGGGGGAUAACUAUUGGAAACGAUAGCUAAUACCGCAUAACAAUGGAUGACACAUGUCAUUUAUUUGAAAGGGGCAAUUGCUCCACUACAAGAUGGACCUGCGUUGUAUUAGCUGGUAGGUGAGGUAAUGGCUCACCUAGGCGACGAUACAUAGCCGACCUGAGAGGGUGAUCGGCCACACUGGGACUGAGACACGGCCCAGACUCCUACGGGAGGCAGCAGUAGGGAAUCUUCGGCAAUGGGGGCAACCCUGACCGAGCAACGCCGCGUGAGUGAAGAAGGUUUUCGGAUCGUAAAGCUCUGUUGUAAGUCAAAAACGGGUGUGAGAGUGGAAAGUUCACACUGUGACGGUAGCUUACCAGAAAGGGACGGCUAACUACGUGCCAGCAGCCGCGGUAAUACGUAGGUCCCGAGCGUUGUCCGGAUUUAUUGGGCGUAAAGCGAGCGCAGGCGGUUUGAUAAGUCUGAAGUUAAAGGCUGUGGCUCAACCAUAGUUCGCUUUGGAAACUGUCAAACUUGAGUGCAGAAGGGGAGAGUGGAAUUCCAUGUGUAGCGGUGAAAUGCGUAGAUAUAUGGAGGAACACCGGUGGCGAAAGCGGCUCUCUGGUCUGUAACUGACGCUGAGGCUCGAAAGCGUGGGGAGCGAACAGGAUUAGAUACCCUGGUAGUCCACGCCGUAAACGAUGAGUGCUAGGUGUUGGAUCCUUUCCGGGAUUCAGUGCCGCAGCUAACGCAUUAAGCACUCCGCCUGGGGAGUACGACCGCAAGGUUGAAACUCAAAGGAAUUGACGGGGGCCCGCACAAGCGGUGGAGCAUGUGGUUUAAUUCGAAGCAACGCGAAGAACCUUACCAGGUCUUGACAUCCCGAUGCUAUUUCUAGAGAUAGAAAGUUACUUCGGUACAUCGGUGACAGGUGGUGCAUGGUUGUCGUCAGCUCGUGUCGUGAGAUGUUGGGUUAAGUCCCGCAACGAGCGCAACCCCUAUUGUUAGUUGCCAUCAUUCAGUUGGGCACUCUAGCGAGACUGCCGGUAAUAAACCGGAGGAAGGUGGGGAUGACGUCAAAUCAUCAUGCCCCUUAUGACCUGGGCUACACACGUGCUACAAUGGUUGGUACAACGAGUUGCGAGUCGGUGACGGCGAGCUAAUCUCUUAAAGCCAAUCUCAGUUCGGAUUGUAGGCUGCAACUCGCCUACAUGAAGUCGGAAUCGCUAGUAAUCGCGGAUCAGCACGCCGCGGUGAAUACGUUCCCGGGCCU
rnacentral:rRNA from 1 species